AUACCACCUCUUUCCUUUUUAGCAUUAUUCUGUUAUCUAAUUGAGCGCAGCUUCUAUUUUGGUCGACCCAACAACACCAUGCCGAUGCAUUCCGUCUCAUUGCAAUCCUCACCUUACCCAAACUCCAAAUUUCCUCUUCAACUCUCCAAUUCCAACCUUUCCGUUACCCGAUUCUCUUUCAUCUUCAGCGAUAAGCAUUUCCAUUUCGGGCGCCAUCAGCGUCUCCUACCCCUGCCUCCUGCUCUUCGCGAAUCACAGGACUACCAACAGGCUGUGAAGCGCAAGGAUCUCGCUGAAGCUCUCAGGUUUCAAGAAUCCUUUGACAGAGAGCGCAAUCGUACCCAUUAGUGAUCCGGCGGCUGCUGAUUCAGCUUCCUCCGCUCUUGGGAAUCCGCGGUUAUCUGGCCGGGAGAGGGACUGGGCGGUACUAGGCACUUGUUUGGAUGCUGAUGAUAUGAAACCUGUUGCCAAUGCUUAUGGGUUUCUCAGGGAUGGAGGGUUCUUGCACAAUUUUGGAAAAUGCAGGAACAUUGUGUCCAAGUUGAUCCAAAGAAGUGGGGUCUUUCAGGCAGCUUUCGUUAUGCUUUGAUUUCUUUUCUUGGUGGAGCAUCAUUUCUUCUCUGCCAGGACAUAGAUAUUAGGCCAAACCUGUUGGCACUGCCGGGGCUGCCAUUUUUGGACUUUAUCCUCCUUGGUAGUACUUGUCUCGCUCAAAUAUCAAGCUAUUGGCCACCAUAUAAGCGGUUGAGUCCUUGUACAUGAAGCUGGACAUGGCUGAUUGAUAUGCUCUACUAAUAUUGAAUCAUGUACAACUCUGCUUACCUCGUGGGUAGCUCAAUUUGUGGAGUGAUUUUGGAUGCAAUUGUUGCUAUGGAAGUGGGGAUAUACCAGGGCAGGGAGAGAGAAGAGAACCGCCACUCGUCGUCCAACACAUGGAGGAGGGCAGCGGAGCCCGUGGGUGUCAUGUGGCAGAAGAUGGCUAGAGAAACACAUCCAGCCCGCUAGUCGACACGCGUCAGACGCGUGGAUCCAGGUCAGCCUGUUUUCGACCCAAAGAACCACACGUGACCCGACGCCAUGCAAUCUAAAUGCGAACGACCCCGACCACAUCCAACCCGAUCGUUCCUGACCCGCGACUGCACAAAGCUUCGGCGUAGCGACCUCCAGAGCACGUGCCCGACGCGUGCAGCGUGCAUGAGUUCUCCAAAUUCCUCCGUUUGCUAGUUUUUCGCUCUAAUUUCGAUACUGACUUUGUUCUUAUGUGAAUUAGGACCCCAUCAAGAAAAUUUCAUAACUUUGGAACCUUCUUUGGUAAGAAGAUCAAGCUUGGAAAGACAUGUAUCAACCAUUUGGCAGGAAAUUUGUGUUUUGGAAUGAAAAAAUGGGAAGCAACCCUGUGGAAGGACGUUUGGAUGGUAGUUCAUUUGUGAGGUGAUCACGUUAAUUAGUUCCCUCCUUUGGAGAAGGAUCCAAACAGUUGUCCAUUAUUUUUGGUAUUAUGGUACUAUAACUCUGAAUAAUAGCUGAAGUAGUAAGAUUUGUAUGAGUGGACUCAAUUCUAUGCCUGAAACUGUGUACAUAAUAACUAACAUGACUGCGUUGAGGUAAUGCAGGGUAGUUUUUGCGGGCAUUCCAGCUGAAGCUCUUGUUUGCGGGCAACACAUAAAAAAAGAGUAACCUUUUUUCUGAUAUCUUGAUUACAGUUUUUUAUGUGUUGAACUCCUCCGGGGAAUCGGGAGAGAAGAAGCAAAUUAUACAAGGUAGAAUCAGAUUCCCAGCAAGCAACCAAGCCGGGCUCCACCCAUCUCAGAUUAUUAUUAAAGGUAGAAUCAGUUUGGUUUCAUCUUAGUCUUCCUUGAAGUUGGUCUUUUUAAGUCCCAACACUCCGUCCACGCCACUCAACAGCAUCUCCAGUUGAGAGUUCUUGAUUCUCAAUAAUAAUAAUAAUAAUAAACCAUAAACGGUCACUUUCAAGGACCAGAAAGAGAGGGUAAAGAAAAGGAAGAAGGGUCUUAGGUAGGCUGCCUUGGGCAUGUGGAUUUCCUGGUCAUCAUUUUGUGCCUCUGCUGUGUAAUGCCACUACCAAAAAGCCCUAUGUUCAUUUACGAAUCACCUUAUACUUUA